rnacentral:rRNA from 1 species
AUUGAACGCUGGCGGCAUGCCUUACACAUGCAAGUCGAACGGCAGCGGGCCUUCGGGUGCCGGCGAGUGGCGAACGGGUGAGUAAUGCAUCGGAACGUGCCAUUGAGUGGGGGGAUAACGUAGCGAAAGUUACGCUAAUACCGCAUAUUCUGUGAGCAGGAAAGCAGGGGACCGCAAGGCCUUGCGCUCUUUGAGCGGCCGAUGUCAGAUUAGCUAGUUGGUGAGGUAAAGGCUUACCAAGGCGACGAUCUGUAGCGGGUCUGAGAGGAUGAUCCGCCACACUGGAACUGAGACACGGUCCAGACUCCUACGGGAGGCAGCAGUGGGGAAUUUUGGACAAUGGGGGCAACCCUGAUCCAGCCAUGCCGCGUGAGUGAAGAAGGCCUC